AUGAACGCUGGCGGCGUGCCUCAUACAUGCAAGUCGAGCGAACAGACGAGGAGCUUGCUCCUCUGACGUUAGCGGCGGACGGGUGAGUAACACGUGGAUAACCUACCUAUAAGACUGGGAUAACUUCGGGAAACCGGAGCUAAUACCGGAUAAUAUAUUGAACCGCAUGGUUCAAUAGUGAAAGACGGUUUUGAUGUCACUUAUAGAUGGAUCCGCGCCGCAUUAGCUAGUUGGUAAGGUAACGGCUUACCAAGGCAACGAUGCGUAGCCGACCUGAGAGGGUGAUCGGCCACACUGGAACUGAGACACGGUCCAGACUCCUACGGGAGGCAGCAGUAGGGAAUCUUCCGCAAUGGGCGAAAGCCUGACGGAGCAACGCCGCGUGAGUGAUGAAGGUCUUCGGAUCGUAAAACUCUGUUAUUAGGGAAGAACAAAUGUGUAAGUAACUAUGCACGUCUUGACGGUACCUAAUCAGAAAGCCACGGCUAACUACGUG
rnacentral:rRNA from 1 species